AACAGAUUUACUUCGGUAAUGACGUUAGGAAAGCGAGCGGCGGAUGGGUGAGUAACACGUGGGGAACCUGCCCCAUAGUCUGGGAUACCACUUGGAAACAGGUGCUAAUACCGGAUAAGAAAGCAGAUCGCAUGAUCAGCUUUUAAAAGGCGGCGUAAGCUGUCGCUAUGGGAUGGCCCCGCGGUGCAUUAGCUAGUUGGUAAGGUAAAGGCUUACCAAGGCGAUGAUGCAUAGCCGAGUUGAGAGACUGAUCGGCCACAUUGGGACUGAGACACGGCCCAAACUCCUACGGGGGGCAGCAGUAGGGAAUCUUCCACAAUGGACACAAGUCUGAUGGAGCAACGCCGCGUGAGUGAAGAAGGUUCUCGGAUCGUAAAGCUCUGUUGUUGGUGAA
rnacentral:rRNA from 1 species